rnacentral:rRNA from 1 species
UGGGGAAUAUUGGACAAUGGGCGAAAGCCUGAUCCAGCCAUGCCGCGUGUGUGAAGAAGGUCUUCGGAUUGUAAAGCACUUUAAGUUGGGAGGAAGGGCAUUAACCUAAUACGUUAGUGUUUUGACGUUACCGACAGAAUAAGCACCGGCUAACUCUGUGCCAGCAGCCGCGGUAAUACAGAGGGUGCAAGCGUUAAUCGGAAUUACUGGGCGUAAAGCGCGCGUAGGUGGUUUGUUAAGUUGGAUGUGAAAUCCCCGGGCUCAACCUGGGAACUGAAUUCAAAACUGACUGACUAGAGUAUGGUAGAGGGUGGUGGAAUUUCCUGUGUAGCGGUGAAAUGCGUAGAUAUAGGAAGGAACACCAGUGGCGAAGGCGACCACCUGGACUAAUACUGACACUGAGGUGCGAAAGCGUGGGGAGCAAACA